GACGAACGCUGGCGGCGUGCCUAAUACAUGCAAGUAGAACGCAGUUGCGAACGGGUGAGUAACGCGAAGGUAACUACCUCAUAGCGGGGGAUAACUAAUGGAAACGAUAGCUAAUACAGCAUCCUGUGAGAUGGACCUGUGUUGUAUUAGCUAGGUGGUGCGGGAAAGGCUCACCAAGGCGACGAUACAUAGCCGACCUGUGAGUGUGAUCGUCCAACCGGGUACUGAGGCACGGCCCAGAUUCCGACGGGAGGCAGCAGUAGGGGAUCUUCGGCAAUGGACGGAAGUCUGACCGAGCAACGCCGCGUGAGUGAAGAAGGUUUUCGGAUCGUAAAGCUCUGUUGUUAGAGAAGCGGUACCUAACCAGAAAGGGACGGCUAACUACGUGCCAGCAGCCGCGGUAAUUC
rnacentral:rRNA from 1 species